UCUGCAGCGGAGACCUAAACAGGAAGUUGGUCACCAGAUAACACGGUAACCAGUUAAACCGUAACACAGGAUUAAACCAACGGCUUCUCCUGAAAGAUGGAGCAGUUCCAACUUUAAAAACAGAAGCUGUUUACGGGCCACAAGCUACGACAUCUCAGCAGGGUGCGAGUUCCCAAGAGCUCCCCACUACAUCUACACUUCAUGAAGUUGGAUGUCAGUCAGACCCUAUAGAGACCGAAACUGUAGCCACAGAGAUAAAGCCGAAGAUGCGAUCAGUGGGCACACAACUUUCAAUGGGUACAUUGAGCAGUUUCCACUUAAGGAGCAAAGGCAUUCAGGCAACAUAUUAUGGUCAUGAUGUGGGCACCCAAACAACUGACAUGUUUCCUGAUGUGUCUUCAACACCAGUAAGGGGCUCAGUCUUCAGGCCCAGUAAGAGAACUCGUCUGGUGUUCGAUGAGGAAGAAGAAUCAGAAUUAAAUGUCGAACCCACUGAUUCCACAUAUAACCCAGAUUCUGUUGUCACUGAAGAAUCAGAAUUGGCGAUAGAUCCACAGCCCGACCACAGCGAUAACAAAUACAUUGUUUUUGAAAGCUGUCUUCGAGAGCUGUUUGUGUCCUGUCCAAUUUGUAAGACAAAGUGUGUUGUCCAGAACAGACGAAGGGGGAAUUUUGUUGCAUUCACUUAGCUUUGUGAAAAGUGUAACUACUACAGACAGUGGCAGAGCCAGCCCAUUGUUGGGAGUACCCCACUUGGAAACCUGCUAUUGUCUGCUGCAACGUAUUUUACCGGUGGAUCUUUUAAACAACUAGAGAAGAUUUUCAAAGUCAUGAAGCUCCAGAUGAUGCAUUUGGUAACUUUUAGGAUUCAUGCCAGGAAUUUCAUUGAGCCUACCAUAAUACACAAGUGGAACCAAGAUCAACUGAAUCUUAUAAGACAGCUGCAAGAGGGAGGAAAUGUUGCUGUGGCUGGAGAUAUGCGUGCUGACACGCCAGGACACUCAGCAAAAUUUGGCAGCUACACCAUUAUGCACAUGGAAACCAACAAAAUUCUGGAUCUUCAACUAGUUCAGAGCAAUGAGGUUGGUGGCAGUUAUCAUAUGGAAAAGGAGGGAUUGAAGCGUUGUCUCGAUAAGCUGGAGUCUCAUGGUUUAACUGUUGACUACAUCGUCACCGAUCGCCAUCCGCAGAUUCAGAAUUACCUGAGGGACCGCAAUAUCAUUCAGUUCUAUGACGUGUGGCACUUUGAGAAAGGUUUAUCUAAGAAACUUGACAAACUUUCAAAAAUGAAGGACUGCGAGGUGCUGAAAAAAUGGUUGCACAGCAUCAAAAACCAUGUUUACUGGAGUGCGAUUUCCUCUGAGUCUGGGCCAGAAAAGGUGGCGAAGUGGAAUUCACUGCAGAACCACAUACAAAAUGUACAUGUUCAUGAGAACCACCUCUUCCCCAAGUGUGAACACCCAGACAAAGUUUCCAGGGAUCCAAAAAAUGGUUCCAACCAGGAUCAAUAGCGCUUCAUAAAGUGGAAAAGCUAUUAUACAACAAGAGAGUUCUCAAGGAUAUAGAAAAGCUCAGCCACAACUUUCAGACGUCAUCACUGGAGGCUUUCCACAGUCUGAUUUUGCGUUUUGCCCCAAAGAACGUGAUUUUCCCUUUCAUAGGAAUGUUGUGCAGGGGAAUGCACAGCAAAGCCAGUGAAAAUAGAACCAACAUACAACUAUGUCGAUGACCUUAUGAGCCUUCUGUUACAUAAAGUCUUUGUGGACCCCAAGCCAUAUGCGGAAGAGCUGCAUGCAAUCCCCAUUCCACCUCCUCUGUCAUCACAGUAUGAAAAACCUUCCAAAGAAGAGGUGAUUGCCCAGCGUGUGUCACGAUUCAGUCGAGGGGUGGCCGGAACCCAACAUACUGUCCCGCUGGAUCAGGAAACUGUAGGCGGAUCCGG